rnacentral:rRNA from 1 species
UGCGUAGGCGGGUCUUUAAGUCAGGGGUGAAAUCCUGGAGCUCAACUCCAGAACUGCCUUUGAUACUGAAGAUCUUGAGUUCGGGAGAGGUGAGUGGAACUGCGAGUGUAGAGGUGAAAUUCGUAGAUAUUCGCAAGAACACCAGUGGCGAAGGCGGCUCACUGGCCCGAUACUGACGCUGAUGCACGAAAGCGUGGGGAGCAAACA